rnacentral:lncRNA from 1 species
AAAUUAUCAAAUCGCAGUAGACAAAAGGAACAAACCUACAAACUUUUCUCUAUAAUCCAAACAUAAUACCGAUGUCUGCAAGUAGAGAAAAUGUUAUCCUGAUAGAAAACCCUAAUCCAUUAAUCUCUAAACUCAUCAUUUGGUUGGCUGCUUCUGUGAGACGUAUGUAUAUAGGAGGUUUCUUCUUCGUUCGUCGUCGCCAUGGAAGUGAAACGGGAGAGAAAAUGAAUCGUACACUGCUACAAUCCGUCGGGGCCAAACCCAAAUUAGGUACGAUCUAAA